ensembl:lncRNA
CCUAUGCCUUCCAGAGAAUUAGAAAGUAAACAUUUAAAAAAUGUAAAAAAAUUGAUAAGAGUUUAGUGUAAUUUGGGGGAAGUUCAAAGAGGAGGGGAAUGAAUGAGAAUUAGCCAUAUACUAUAGCAACAGGAGUAAAAAUAGAACAUGAAAAGCUUUUCUGUGGUCUCAAGUGCCAUUGAGAGCACUGUUGUCAGUGGGGGCUUAGGUCUGAAAAAUGAGGUGUUUCACUUGAUCACAAGGCACUAAAUUGGAACUUUUAGCUGGAGCCCCAAAUGCCCUAAAUUAAAAGGAGUUUACCACCCUGUGUGUGUGUGUGUGUGUGUGUGGCAAGGGGGAGGGUCUUGGAGGAUGUACAUUAAAGGAACUAAUUAGAAUGCAAAGCAGAGGAAAUGUGCUAACUUGAGUGACAUACUUAUUGACAUGAGGUGGAGGGAGGAGUUAACGAUGGUUUUGGUUAAGGCAGUUGAGGAAGUUUCCAUGGGGAAGUGCCAUUUUAUCUGGGCCUUGAAGAACGAGUAGUUUUUGACGAGUGUAGGUAAAUUAACAGCAGUAACAAUGACAGAAACUAAAAUUUGAACGUGUUAGGUAUUGUGCUAAGCUCUUUUAAAUGUAUCAUCUGAUAGACCUCACAAAAGCUCUAAGAGGUACACACAAUUACUGUCCCUAUGUAAAGGUGGGGAAACUGAGGUAGAUGCAAUUUGACCAGUAUCACACGAGUGCACUUGAAUUUGGAUGCAUUGCUUCAAGCAGCUGUGCUCUUUCCAAGAGAGAGGGGCAGUUGAAAAGGAGAGAACACCUUGAGCAAAGAGCUACAUGAGCAGUUUUGGUGAAAUUGCAAGGUUUUGUGUGGCCUAAUUAUAGGAUGUUUGGGGUAAUGAGGUCUGAAAAAGACCUAGAAAUGAAGGUGGGGCUAGAAUGUAGAGCCUUGAAUAUCAUUUCAAGGACUUUUUUGUUUUCUUCCAGGCAGUGGGGAAAUAUGGAUUUUUGUGUAGAGGGUAAUGUGAUUUGACUAGUGGUUGUAGGAUGAGUCUGGUGGAGGCCUGAAGCCUGGCUUUGAGAGGCGAGAGACUGGAGUUCAGGGGAACAGGUACCAAGGGAAAGAGCCAAAUUGGGGUUAGUGGGAAAGAGCACCAGCAGAUAGGGAGACACUGUGGGAAGUUUAGCUGGCUGGGUAUUGUAACUGCUUGUGUAUAGGAGUGAGGAGAGAGGCUGUCAGUCUCCACUGUUAGGAAUAUAGUGACACUGUUGAUCUAAGGAGUUCAGAAGCAAGAGCGUGGGAGGACGACUCUGUGUUAGGUUUGAAGCAUGUUGAGUUGGAGGGAUACAUACUAUCCAGAUGUCCAGUGGGAAUUUGGAAAAAUCUCAGUCUAGGGCAGGGUAAGAGGAUACACAGAGAGCUAAGAGUUGAAGCCUUGCAACAGAACAUAGGACAAAGCUGGGAAGAGCAAGGCUAGAUCUCUACAGAAUACCUGCUUUCAAAGGAUUAGGUGGGUGACUCGAAAUUGGUAGAAGACUUAAAAGGGUGUUCACGAAAGGCCUUCUCCAGAUUGUCCUGGAUUCCAAAGGAGAGUGUUUCAGGAGGGACAGAUUGUCAAGAGCUACAGCCAGGUGCAUAGUGUAAACUCUGAAAAAAGCCCAGUAUUUCUCAAAUCUUUUAGUGUCA